ensembl:lncRNA
GGGAGAAGUGAGACAGUGCAGCAGAACACGACAUCCUUGGAUCGCAAUGCCUCCUUGGUUGUUUGGUGAAAACAAUCAUGACACAAGGCCUUCCAGGAUUUCUGUAAUAAUAUAAGUCUACCCAUGAGGAUAUAGGCUCCUUGACUUUUUAUUAAGCGUGUCAGUAGCCUGAGUGGCUGGUAAAUACAAUAACAUUCAGAAACCAAAUCAGUGUCUCAGAGGAUCCCCGAGUAAGUUUUAUGCUGGGAGAAGGUUUGCUGCAAAGUGGUCACAGACUUUUAGUUAUUAUAGAGUAUUAAGGCUUCUAUUUGUGGCACGGGCGGCAGAGAUUGACAGUCACGGAUAGAGCAUCCUGCCAACUUCUCCGUCAGCCGUGCCACACAGCUAGGCUUUGCUCUUCGUAGAUUAAAAAGACAGCUAGCUGAAGGAGUCCCAGUCAUGAUGUGAAUGAAGUAAGAUAAUUUAAUGUCGAGAGAUGUUAUAUGUCAGGGAGUUCAGUUUUGAAAAUUAUAUGAUCGAUAUCAUUGUUGUUGUCCAGUUUUAAGUACUGUAAACGCCACACUUUCUUCAUCUCGAUGCCCCUCCAUUUUUUUGCGCUAACGUGCAUUCACACAAGAAAAUAAUGGAUCGAUUGUUUUAAGCAUUUACAAAGCAGCGGUUUUGUGGUUUUAUAUUUAUUCAUCCAUUUGCUUUGUUUGCUUGUUUGUUUGUUUAGGGGGAGGGGAAUCUGUUCUUCAGUUGAUUUUCACGUUUUGAUUUUCCGUUCAACUUGUUUGGUCUAAAUUUUUUGGUACCAGAGGCCAAACGGUACAAAGCUAUGUGGCCUGUGGCUAAAACUAGUUCAGCCAAGUGAAAAUCAGGGACUCAUAGCUCUUUUGGUCACACAAACUACUGUUGUAUUGUGUAUAUACUGGACAGGAGUCUGUCUGUAAACCUGAAUCGUUCAGGCUCCUGUCAUUUAAACCCCAUUCAGAUAAAUUUAAGUAAAAAAAAAUUCAACACCCUAUUCAUACAAGAUCCAUCAUCUCUACCUUUGUCAGUGUUGUUUAUAGAUUAAGUCUUGUACAUAUACACAGUUUUGUAUGAAGAGCUAUUUUUUCGUCAGAAUAAAUCAGGGGACACAUCAGGGUUGAAUGCCCCAGUUUCAAAAUUGAAAUAGUAUUAAGAAAAAAGUAUUUUACUUCUGAAAUGGGCAAAAAAACAACAACAUUUUUUCUUUCCCUUUACGUUUUUUGAUACUAAUUUGUUGAAUUUUUAUUCUUUUUUUAAAGUCUUUUGAUGUUGUCAUUUGUCCUUUUUCCUUUUUUUUAAUUAGCAUUAUUUUAUAUUUUGUUCAUCCUCAAAUUAAGUCAUUGCAUGCUUGCUAAAAGGGAAAAAUUGAAGGGAAAAAGUGUAUGAAAAUCCAAACUUAAAAAAAAAAUGUUGAGGGUAUCCCAAACAUUUGUUUGAGUUGCUUGUUACAGCAAUUGCUUGUGUUCAAAGGUACAUUUUCUAUGAAAAGAAAGCAAAAACUAAAAAGAUCAUUUAACACCUUGUGCAAUAAAGCUAUCUUUCAUAUGUC